UACGGAGGAUCCAAGCGUUAUCCGGAUUUAUUGGGUUUAAAGGGUGCGUAGGCGGCCUAUUAAGUCAGGGGUGAAAGACGGUAGCUUAACUAUCGCAGUGCCUUUGAUACUGAUGGGCUUGAAUGAACUAGAGGUAGGCGGAAUGUGACAAGUAGCGGUGAAAUGCAUAGAUAUGUCACAGAACACCAAUUGCGAAGGCAGCUUACUAUGGUCCUAUUGACGCUGAGGCACGAAAGCGUGGGGAUCAAACAGG
rnacentral:rRNA from 1 species